AAUGAACGUUGGCGGCGUGGAUUAGGCAUGCAAGUCGCGCGACAAGGAACCUUCGGGUUCUGGAGGAGCGGCAAACGGGGUAGUAAGGCAUCGGAACGUACCCUCUUGUUGGGAAUAGCCGCGGGAAACUGCGAGUAAUGCCCAAUAAUCCCUACGGGGCAAAGGUCCGCCGCAGGAGGAGCGGCCGAUGUGAUACCAGCUAGUUGGUGAGGUAAUGGCUCACCAAGGCUUAGACGUCUAGGGGGUGUGAGAGCAUGGCCCCCACCACUGGGACUGAGAUACUGCCCAGACACCUACGGGUGGCUGCAGUCGAGAAUCUUCGGCGAAUGGGCGGCAAGCCUGACCGA
rnacentral:rRNA from 1 species